CUUUGGGUAGUUCAAAUCUCGGCUCCACUAUUUAUUAGUACUAGUUGAGGGGCUCUGGGCAAGUUAUGAAACCUCUCUGAGCUCAGUAGCUGCAUCAUAAAAUGGGGAUAAUAAUGUUGAACUACUUAUUAUCAACGUGUGUGUUCCUUCCUCUUCCCCUAAAUCCCUAAUUACUGUGGAGAAUCUCUGCCUUAAAACAGAUCCCAGAGGAGCCCCUGUUCCUGUUAUUUAGCCCACACCCCAAGGUCCCGCUGCAGCUGUGUGCACAUAAACAGGCUGAAUGUGAGGGAGUGCAUGGCGACAGGCACUGUGGUCUGGGAGCAUCUGCUCUCCUCUCUGUGUGCCUUGGACGUGAUUUGGGAGGAUGACCAAAAGCACAAGGCUAUGUACAUCUUCGGGUAUCAGCGUUUUGCAAGAUACAUUCCUGGGGUAAUCUCCACCCCUCUUUUCCAUCUGUUCGGAGAAGGUGCAUUCUCAGCAUCAAGGGGCAGAAUUCUGGUGGCUAAGCCUUCACCUUUCCAAGGAGAGCUAUAUUUAUCUCUUCCCUGUGGUCAGCUCCUGCUGAUGUAGCAAACAUUAGAACUUCUUCAAAACAUCAAAGUUUAGGAGACGCCAUGAAACACUGAGAAGUAAAACAAUACAAAAUGAGAGUGCCUGCUUUAUUUUGCUAGCAUCAGAAAUCAAAGCUUCAUUGAUCGGUCUCAAAAGUUCCAGAGAUAUAUUUUAUCUGAUUAGAGUUUUUGUUUUGUAAUGCAUUUUUUCCAGAAUACUGACAAGUUACUGGGCUGAGAGAGUUUGCACGGCAGAGGGUUGGAGGGGAAGCCUUUCAGAAUGAAAUCAUUUUCUUUCUCGAAGCCAAGGUACUCUUCCCAACAAAAUAGUUCGCUUGCCUAGUAAAGAAAAUACAAUUUUUGUUGCAAACCAGCCUGAUUUUUUUUUUUUAAAAAAAGGAAGACUGGAAGAUAGAGGUCAUUUAGCUACAAGAUACUGAGCUCAGAGGGGAACGUGAUGAACAACUGGCUCCUACUGUAAGAAAUGGGAUUGCAUAUAUUUUAAUUCCAAUUCUACACUGAAGUCAAAUGUUGGGCACGCAUUUGUGAAACUUGGAAGAAAAUCCCAAUAAGUUCAAGGUGAAGAAGUUAGAUGAGCAAUCAGUGGUCUUUACCCUUCAAAGAUGGACUAAAUGAAACUGUUAGAAAGCAACAAAUGAUACAAGUAGAGUAACUUGUUAGUUUACUUGUGUUUAUCUUUCUGGGUCUGACGCAUAAAGGACAAUUUUAAAUACAGGAGAGCAAAUAAAGUAGGUGCUUUGUUUCGCGGCAGAGUUAAAAUGUAAAUCACCUGUAAUCCCAGCACUUUGGGAGGCCAACACAGGCAGAUCACUUGAGCCCAGGAGUUUGAGAACAGCCUGGGCAACAUGGCAAAACCCUGUCUCUACAAAUAAUAAAAAAAAAUUAGCCGGGCAUGGUGGUGCAUGCCUGUGGUACCAGCUACUUGGGAGGCUGAAGUGGGAGGAUUGCUUGAGCCCAGGUGGUUGAGGUGCAGUGAGCUAUGAUCACUGCACUCCAGCCUGGGAGACAGAGCAAGAACCUGUCUCAAAAAAAAAAAAAAAAAAAAAAAA
rnacentral:lncRNA from 1 species